UAGUGUCCAUACAAGAAUAUACACCAGAGCUCUCUCUCCAUCUGCUUUGUGAAGAUACAGUGAGGAGGCAGCCAUUUACAAACCAAAAAGAGGAUCCUCACCAGACUCUGACCCUGCUGAUACCCUCACCUUGGAAUUCCUGCUUCCAGAACCGUGAGAUUAUAUAUAAAAGAUACUACAGAGCUAAUCAAUUUCCAGAGAUAUAUCCAGGAGAAAAAUCACACCUCUUUCUUGAAUACUUCACAGAAGCAAAAGCUUUGAUUCUUACCUGAAGGUUGAAACUUUUAACAAGCUUGGGCAGAACU